GACGAACGCUGGCGGCGUGCUUAACACAUGCAAGUCGAACGGAAAGGCCCUGCUUUUGUGGGGUGCUCGAGUGGCGAACGGGUGAGUAACACGUGAGUAACCUGCCCUUGACUUUGGGAUAACUUCAGGAAACUGGGGCUAAUACCGGAUAGGAGCUCCUGCUGCAUGGUGGGGGUUGGAAAGUUUCGGCGGUUGGGGAUGGACUGGCGGCUUAUCAGCUUGUUGGUGGGGUAGUGGCUUACCAAGGCUUUGACGGGUAGCCGGCCUGAGAGGGUGACCGGCCACAAUGGGACUGAGAUACGGCCCAGACUCCUACGGGAGGCAGCAGUGGGGAAUAUUGCACAAUGGGCGGAAGCCUGAUGCAGCAACGCCGCGUGCGGGAUGACGGCCUUCGGGUUGUAAACCGCUUUCGCCUGUGACGAAGCGUGAGUGACGGUAAUGGGUAAAGAAGCACCGGCUAACUACGUG
rnacentral:rRNA from 1 species